CUCGGUGCUACACAAAUGAAUCAAGGAGAACAUGUUAACAGACCAGCAACGUGCUAGGAGGCCAACAGGAGCAUUACCUGGUGUUGACCGGCGGGCAAAUGACAUCAUAUAUGUUUUUUUCCAACCAAGGGAGCCUCAACAUCAGGACAUCAAGAAGGAAGCUGAUGAUGAUGAUGAGUACGGCCAUCUUGGCAUGGAUUGCUGCGGCUGCCAUGCCCAUGUCCAGCAACAUGUUGUCGUGCCAGUGCUGCAACCUUCUACUCCAAACACGGUCGCAAGCAAUGUGAUCAUGAAGUUCUGGGAUACUUAACAUUCCCUGUAUUUUUCUAGCAAUGUCUUAGUUAAGACGUAGAUGCAAGGGCUCAUAUAAAUCUCAAUGAAUUUAUAUUAGUUACCAUGAUAAUUUGAUUGUAUAUAUGAGCAUAUCCGAAUCAUUUUAGGCUUAUAAUGGCAUUUCCUUUAAUGAUUUAUUUAUAGAGUAUUACAAUGGUGACAAUGGAGGGAUUCUUAUCUUUUUGUAUACCAUGUAUUUUUGGUGUUUUAUACCUUCACUGCAGGUCUCUAAAUCUAAGAGAAAAAAAGGUUAUUUUCAUUUUCUUUA